rnacentral:rRNA from 1 species
GUGGGGAAUUUUGGACAAUGGGCGCAAGCCUGAUCCAGCAAUGCCGCGUGCAGGAAGAAGGCCUUCGGGUUGUAAACUGCUUUUGUACGGAACGAAACGGUCCGGGUUAAUACCCUGGGCUAAUGACGGUACCGUAAGAAUAAGCACCGGCUAACUACGUGCCAGCAGCCGCGGUAAUACGUAGGGUGCAAGCGUUAAUCGGAAUUACUGGGCGUAAAGCGUGCGCAGGCGGUUUUGUGAGACAGGCGUGAAAUCCCCGGGCUCAACCUGGGAAUUGCGCUUGUGACUGCAAGGCUGGAGUGCGGCAGAGGGGGAUGGAAUUCCGCGUGUAGCAGUGAAAUGCGUAGAUAUGCGGAGGAACACCGAUGGCGAAGGCAAUCCCCUGGGCCUGCACUGACGCUCAUGCACGAAAGCGUGGGGAGCAAACAGGAUUAGAAACCCUGGUAGUCC